rnacentral:rRNA from 1 species
AAGUAUAACCAUAGAGGGUGAUAGUCCCGUAUGCGAAAAACAAACCUUAGCUAGCAGUAUCCUGAGUAGGGCGGGACACGAGGAAUCCUGUCUGAAUCCGGGUCGACCACGAUCCAACCCUAAAUACUAAUACCAGAUCGAUAGUGCACAAGUACCGUGAGGGAAAGGUGAAAAGAACUGAGGUGAUCAGAGUGAAAUAGAACCUGAAACCAUUUGCUUACAAUCAUUCAGAGCCCUAUGUAGCAAUACAGGGUGAUGGACUGCCUUUUGCAUAAUGAGCCUGCGAGUUGUGGUGUCUGGCAAGGUUAAGCAAACGCGAAGCCGUAGCGAAAGCGAGUCUGAAUAGGGCGCUUAGUCAGAUGCUGCAGACCCGAAACGAAGUGAUCUAUCCAUGAGCAAGUUGAAGCUAGUGUAAGAACUAGUGGAGGACUGAACCCAUAGGCGUUGAAAAGCCCCGGGAUGACUUGUGGAUAGGGGUGAAAGGCCAAUCAAACUUCGUGAUAGCUGGUUCUCUCCGAAAUAUAUUUAGGUAUAGCGUUGUGUCGUAAUAUAAGGGGGUAGAGCACUGAAUGGGCUAGGGCAUACACCAAUGUACCAAACCCUAUCAAACUCCGAAUACCUUAUAUGUAAUCACAGCAGUCAGGCGGCGAGUGAUAAAAUCCGUCGUCAAGAGGGAAACAACCCAGACUACCAGCUAAGGUCCCUAAAUCUUACUUAAGUGGAAAACGAUGUGAAGUUACUUAAACAACCAGGAGGUUGGCUUAGAAGCAGCCAUCCUUUAAAGAAAGCGUAAUAGCUCACUGGUCUAGUGAUUUUGCGCGGAAAAUAUAACGGGGCUAAAGU